rnacentral:rRNA from 1 species
UACGGAGGAUGCGAGCGUUAUCCGGAUUUAUUGGGUUUAAAGGGUGCGCAGGCGGUCUGUUAAGUCAGCGGUCAAAGCCCGGGGCUCAACCCCGCCGAGCCGUCGGAACUGGGGGCCUUGAGUGCGGCGGAGGCAUGCGGAAUGCGCGGUGUAGCGGUGAAAUGCAUAGAUAUCACGCAGAACCCCGAUUGCGAAGGCAGCAUACCGGCGCCCGACUGACGCUGAGGCACGAAAGUGCGGGUAUCGAACAGG